UACGGAGGAUCCAAGCGUUAUCCGGGAUUUAUUGGGUUUAAAGGGUGCGUAGGCGGCCUAUUAAGUCAGGGGUGAAAGACGGUAGCUUAACUAUCGCAGUGCCUUUGAUACUGAUGGGCUUGAAUGAACUAGAGGUAGGCGGAAUGUGACAAGUAGCGGUGAAAUGCAUAGAUAUGUCACAGAACACCAAUUGCGAAGGCAGCUUACUAUGGUUUUAUUGACGCUGAGGCACGAAAGCGUGGGGAUCAAACAGG
rnacentral:rRNA from 1 species